rnacentral:tRNA from 1 species
ACUUUUAAAGGAAAAUAGUUAUCCACUGG